rnacentral:rRNA from 1 species
GAACGCUGGCGGCGUGCCUAAUACAUGCAAGUAGAACGCUGAAGGAGGAGCUUGCUUCUCUGGAUGAGUUGCGAACGGGUGAGUAACGCGUAGGUAACCUGCCUGGUAGCGGGGGAUAACUAUUGGAAACGAUAGCUAAUACCGCAUAAUAGUAGAUGUUGCAUGACAUUUGCUUAAAAGGUGCAAUUGCAUCACUACCAGAUGGACCUGCGUUGUAUUAGCUAGUUGGUGGGGUAACGGCUCACCAAGGCGACGAUACAUAGCCGACCUGAGAGGGUGAUCGGCCACACUGGGACUGAGACACGGCCCAGACUCCUACGGGAGGCAGCAGUAGGGAAUCUUCGGCAAUGGACGGAAGUCUGACCGAGAAACGCCGCGUGAGUGAAGAAGGUUUUCGGAUCGUAAAGCUCUGUUGUAAGAGAAGAACGAGUGUGAGAGUGGAAAGUUCACACUGUGACGGUAUCUGACCAGAAAGGGACGGCUAACUACGUG